AAUGGUUCCCCUGUAUUUGGGCAAAUCAUAUUUUGAGGAACAUAUUUUUACUGCUCUGUCUUAAUUUGUGCUUGGAUAGCCUUCACGACUUGCUUCUAAUUGCGCUCACAACUUCCUCAGCAUUGUGUUGGAGGCGAUUACUACCGUUGCUCGGAUCUACUGAUGGAGGAGGUAUUUCCUUCUCCCCAAUAUCUAUAUCACUUCCCUUUUUUAGGUUAAUCUCUUUUUGUGUCAAGUGAUUAUUUGAUUUCUUGAUUUUCUACUAAAAUGGUGAGGCUUUUGCACUCCAUCUGUUUGAUGAGAAUACUGAUACAGUUUUAUGAUUUAUCGAAAUGUAAGGAUUUAGUACUGCAGUCCAUGUGUCUCCUC
rnacentral:lncRNA from 1 species